AGAGUUUGAUCAUGGCUCAGGAUGAACGCUGGCGGCGUGCCUAACACAUGCAAGUCGAACGAGGCCCUUUGUAUUCGUACGAAGGUGCCCUAGUGGCGAACGGGUGAGUAACACGUUGGUGACCUGCCCCGAAGAAGGGGAUAACUCCGGGAAACUGGAGCUAAUACCCUAUGUGCUCCAAAGAGUUAGAGGGCCUUGGAGUAAAGGAGCAAUCCGCUUUGGGAGGGGCCUGCGGCCCAUCAGCUAGUUGGUAGGGUAAAAGCCUACCAAGGCUAUGACGGGUAGGGGACCUGAGAGGGUGGCCCCCCACACUGGCACUGAAACACGGGCCAGACACCUACGGGUGGCAGCAGUGGGGAAUAUUGCCCAAUGGACGAAAGUCUGAGGCAGCAACGCCGCGUGCGCGAUGAAGGCCUUCGGGUUGUAAAGCGCUUUUCUGGGGGAAGAGGAAGGNCGGU
rnacentral:rRNA from 1 species